GAUGAAUCUCUUAUGCCUCUCCUAUCUUCGUCGUUUCCACUUCUUCAACUGAUGGUCGAUCAAUCGACACACUACUCCAUUUCUGUGCAAUAAAUCCUCCGAAAAUCUCAUUUAUGGCUUCCUUCCGCCUUUAUACCUCUAAGUUUCUUUAUAACACUCUUUUUUUCCCAGAUUUAUUACACACAAAAUUGUGUAUAUUCUCUAAAGCUAUGAAUUCUAACAGCAAAUCUCCUGUUUCCGACGAUCUUAUCUUGAAGAAACCAAACGGAAAGGGCGGUGUCUCCUCCGCCGAGCCGAUCAAUCGUACCGGCAAAACCGGUGUCUCUUCCGCCAAACGGCAAGGCCGUUUUGUUCUCCGACGUGCCGAUCAAACAUAGCGGCGGAACCGAUCAAUAUACUGCCACGUCAAUUUAUUCCUUCCGAUGCUCUCUUCAUCUCCUUCCCGACAUAUUGAAUCUCUUGGUUUCCUUCCCUGCAAAUUCACAACCGCUUCUUAUACAUUUAAUUGCAUUAGUUAAUUGAUCAACGUUAUGGCUUUUCGCUUUUUCUUACGAUUCAUUUGUUGUUGAUUUCCCUAUAAAUCGAGUGAUGGCCGAAUCUGAUUCUCAGUUUUUUCUCACCCAUAGGUUUUUGGCUUAUUGAGCUUGAGAUUUGUUUUCUUUUCGCCAGCUUUUUCGUAUGCUCAUAGUCAUCAAUGUUUAUUUAGAUCUCACAAUAGGUUAUAGAAUAACUUCAGGAACAGGAAAUCUGAUCUGACACUAUAUUUCAUAUUUUUAGGUUAUAAGGAGGACUUGCAAGGAUUAAGAUGGAGGCCGCUUCAGAAGGUAGCAAUUUCAUGGAGAAGGUCAUGCAUCUUGAUGUUCAGGAGAUUGAGUUUGAGUUGGAGUCUAAGGGAAGAAAUAUUUUUCAUGAGAAGGAGAUAAUUAAGAGUAACUGAAAUAUAAGAAACUAAAGACUCAGCUUACUUCACGAGAAAAGCUAUAUGGCAAAUCUGUACUCUUAACUUAUCAACAUCAACGUUUCAACUAGUUUUGUAAAUUGUAUCUGAGAUCUUGCCAAGUCAGUCUUGAUGUUAACAAGCAAAGUCCAAGUGCUAUCACUAUUUGUAUCCAUUCCAGUCCUAGGAUGAAUUCAAGCAUCGGCAUGGAGAAGUCAAAGCUGAUUUAGCAGCAGCAUGCCUGAUCUCAUUCUUCUGGGAUUUUAAUUGUGUUCUGUUUGGUAUGGUAUAACCUAUGAUGAAGGGGGGGAAGACUUCAUUUUGCAGAGAUCCUUUGACUGGCUCAGAGAAAGGGACCAACUUAGACAAGAGAUGAAGGUCAGAAAAGUCUUCUAAGGAAUCACUUUCCUCCAAUUUAAAAUUUUGGAAGAAAUCAUGUACAGGCCUAGGAGGUAAAUAUGGAUAUCAUUAACAUUGGUGACAACAGUUCUUUUUUCCCAGAAAAAAAUAGGCUUUCUGUUAUGUAUUCUCUAUGAUGUGAUUCAGGGGAGAAAAAGCGAAUCCAUGCAUAGUGUGACAAAGUUAUAUAUCCAGGCACUCAGUCAAGCCCAUUCCCGGAGAGCAACUUGCAAUAAUUUGUAGUUUAAUUGGUUAAAAUGUAUGGUUUCAUGACGAUCUUGCUCAUGUUUCAGGCUCUUUCUUUGCUAAUGAUGCAGAGUGUGGAGUUUCUGUUCAUGAUGACAAGAGACUUUGAGUUAUUAAGCAUGUCUGGUGCUCUUGAGUAAGUGAACUAUCAUAGAAAGACAUCCUUUCCAGAAGAUAAUUAUUUAGGGAAGUUGAUCGAUCCCUCAUGACUUCUUUUCCGAAAUAUUUGCAAAGGCACUCUCUGAGGCCAUGUUACCAUGCGUCAAUGCAUGUCAGCAUGAUGGUGUCAGUGUUAGUUUGAAUUUAGAGAACCAUGAGCUUUUAUUUGCAGAUCAUCAUGAAUGACAAUCUCAGUGAGCUAAAGGAACCGGUUAUGGCACGUUCGGUCCAGUGCAUCAUGGGAAAUGGAAAGAAUCAUAUUGCGUUCAAGAGGAUCCACAGACCAAACUAAUUAGAAAAGAUAUCUUCCAAUCGAUGCUACGUUACAGUAGCAGAGAGAAUGUUAAAGAUGAUAGAUAUAUCAUUCAUCUUUUAUUUUCUAUUGUGCUAACUAAGCACACGUGGGAUGACUAAUCUGCAUGGAAUCGUCCAGGAAUUUUUUUUUUUUUUUGUUUUUAAAAUAAAAUUUCCGAAGCAGAGAUAUUGGAUAUUUUCAUUGUAUUCAGAUUUGUAAACAUGUGUUACAUAUACAUUUCUUUGUUUCUAAUAUAUAUAAAAAAGGUGUUC